CAUGAAUGAGAAGUGAGAAAGCCAGUUAUGUGAGGUAUUGAGCUCCAGAGUUUUCAUUGAUGUAUGUAUUGUUCACAGGGAAUCAUGAAUGGUAUUGACUCAAUCUUGAUGAUUGAUUGAAUUACAUGUUUAUGUCAUAUGAUCAAGGCCAUGCUUAAAAGCCCUUACUUAGCCAAAUUUUCACCCAAAGUGUUUAAAAUGAUAUAACCCUUUUGAACCUUGGCCUUAAAUAGUAUGAAAACCCUUAGUUGAAUUAAUUUACCUUGGGUUGGGUUGAGAAUAAUUGUAUGUGAUGAAAAGGUUCAAGUUUUGGGUUGUGUGGGGAAAGUGAAAGGCAAAAGAAAAAGCAUUGAGUUCAAAAGUUGAAAAAGAAAAAUACAUGAGAAAGAAAAGAAAAGAAGAAAAGAAAAAGCAUUUAAAUUGAACUUAAUGUAAAAGAAAAAGGGAAGAAGUUGGGAAUGAUUGAGAUUGGUUAAAAAGAGAGUGUGCUUGAACUUUGAAUAAUUAUAACUCUCUUAACUCAAGGAUUUUGUAUUCUAGAAUAACCAUUUUUUCUUGAUAGCCCAGCCACAUUACAAGCCUUGGAAGGGUCCUUGUGAUAACAUUUGCAUGUGAAGAUUUUGAUUGUUUUAGAUGAAUGACAAUAUUGAUUUAUGUGACAUGUGAACAGUAGAGAGUAGAGUGACCUCCUAAACACUUGAGUGAUUGAGUGAAACACUUGCUUGGUGAGAAUUGUCAAAUCCAUGUUUAAAUCUAUGCUUA
rnacentral:lncRNA from 1 species